GGAGGUUGAAGGUGGUUGGUGGUACACUGGUUGGUGAUGCUCCCUCUCUCUCUCUCUUCUCUCUCUCUUCAAGAAAUUUGUUUCAAGAGUAGUAGGUAGCUACGGACCAGCCAAACUUGCUCCUCCAUCUUCUCUUCAUAAGCCCAUUUCACUGGUCUCUUUUUACUCCUAUUUCAACUGAGGGUUGUUGGCUCACUUUGAUUGAUAGCUCAAAAAUGGCACUGGAAGUGGUCAAUCCACAUGAAGAGGUUGCUCUUGUUCAUGGAAUUUCCAUGGGUGGAGGUGCAUCUUUGAUGGUUCCAAUGAAGUUCUCAGUGGUCACAGAAAAGGCUCCGAGUUUUUUCCACUCCAGAAGCAAGUAUUGGGUUUCAUACUGAUUGUGGUUUCUCAUACAUGCUUUCUCAUCUUCCUGGGCAUUUGGGGGAAUUUUUUGCCUUGACAGGAGCGAGGCUGAAUGGUAAGGAAUUGGUUGCAAUUGGACUAGCAACCCAUUUUGUCCCUCUUGAGGUGAGUUUUCAACUCUCUUAUUCAAUUCAGUACCGCUACAUCCACACAAUUUUUACAAUUGAGACUCUUACCGGUAAAAGUUUCCAAAAGAGUCAUUCAGGCAAAUUCAGGCAAACAAAAUUGUGUGGAUGAAUCAUUAAUCUAUUCAAUUAUAGUAUUCUGCCAUUUAAUCAUGCAUGGGAACUUUGUUCUUGGUACCAAGGCAAGCUUAUAUGAAGUAUUAGACGGCUAUAGAUGCAAAAAUUAGUGUUGGUUUCAUAAUGAUAAUAAUAAUAAUAAUAAUGUCCCUAUCGGAUAAAUGUUUGUGAACUAUUUGCCUUGAAUAUGCAUUGUCUCCCUACAGCCUGUAACAGUAUUUAGUAUGACAACUAUAAAAGGAGCAUAACCUUUAACACUUGUACAAAAUUUAAUUGACUCGGCUGAAAAAUGGUUGUCUUGUGUAUGCGUACUAUGAUUAUUAUACACUGUUUGUGUUCUAACCAUAAAAUAUGAAGACGUAUCAAUUGGGCUUAGUGGAAUAUGCAUGGAGGCAUGUGAGUGUUCAAUUAGUGUUCAACAACAAUGUCAUGGGUGAAGACAGUGAUAUCGAAGAACUUGACAAGCAGCACAAAACGGCGGCCUUAAUUCUUACAACUAUGAAGUAUUUGGAACUAGACAACCGAAUUACUAAUGAUUUGAGCAUGAUGAAGAAAAAAGUUCUUGAUAAUUUUGGAGCCGACUAGGUGGCGAAAACACAAUACAAAAUUAAGAAAGUAGUGAUAAUGGAGAUGCGAUAAUGAAUCAUGAGCACGGGUGGCAAUUGAUGAAUUGACCCUUUCAAAAUUGCCACCGGUGAGGCUUCAUUUCACCAGAUGAUUGGAGUUAAUUUAGUUCACUAAAGGACAAAAUAAACUAAAAAAUUAAUAAGAUAAAAUGUCACAUCCAAAUUAUAAUCAUUUUACUUUUUUCUUACAAAAUUACAAAAAAAAGUAAUAAAUUCAUCCUAAAACAGAAUUUUUUUAGCCAGACCAAAAUAAUUAAAAAGUCAAAAGUCAAAUUAAAAACGUUCUUCCCAGACGAAGGCUCAAUACAUCCUGUUUGACCGCCAGCUUUUUAUUUAAAAAAAUUAAAAUAUCACAUCAUACACAUCAUUCUAUCACUUUUUUUUCCUCACAACUAUUUAUUUAACUAAAAAAUUAAUUCCAAACACACUACCCUUUUUACCUCAUAAAAAAGCCAAUGAAUUAAAAAAUCACUAAAAAGAGUGAAGUUAUCAAAGGAGUAGUGAAAGGAAACAACCAAAAAGGUUUUUUUUGAGGACAUAGGAAACUUUAUAUUAAUAAAAACAAUAACAGUACAUAAACAAGAUCCCAAAGAGCCAUCCUAACCAAACAACAAAACAAACAAACAAACAAACAAAAAACAAAUCCGCCAAAAAAAAAAAAGCUGUAACCAAAGAAGGUUACAAAUAUUAAAUCCAAGAAAAUCCUAUGGUCCUCACCCCUCAAACGGUGUGUACCACCAUAUGCAACCGAUCAUAAAUUGACAUAAUUUUGUCACAAAAUUUUGUAUCAAUCACAAAAUAUAUAAUCUCACCACAAAUUAACAUAAUAAAAAAAUAUCAUAAUUAAGCCACAAAUUUUUGUUACAUGAACCACAAAAUUUUGAGCAUUUUUAAUGUUAAUUUGUAGCGAAAUUACACAUUUUAUGAUAAAAUUACGUCAAUUGUGGCAGGGUACAUAUGGUGCAUACCCUUGGAGGGUGUGUGCCAUUGGUUUCCAAUAAAUCCAUCCCUAAUUAAUCCUCACACAAAAACCAUAAAAAGCAAGUGGGCAAAUUUUACCUAAUUUCCCCUUGAUUUCAAUUUGAUCCUUAUUAUUUCAAAUGCAAUACAUUUGUCCUUUAAUUUUUGAUCUUGUGUUAAAUUGAUCCAAUUUUUAACAAUUGAUCCAUUUUUUAACAGAAAAUUGUUACUCACAUCCAAGCUAACUGAACAAACACCUAUUCAGCAAGAGCAAGCAGCUGCCAACACAGUUGAAACUUUUUCAAAAAAAGAAAAGAGGGAAGAUAAGUAAAUGGUUCAUCUGCAAUAGUAAAAACAUUUCUUAAACUUAUUAAAAUCAUUUUUUUAACUCAUUCAAGAGCGUCUGAUUGAGUUAAGAAAGGGAAUUCCCCAACAAUUCCUCAUCAGAAAGCUGUGCCACCCUAUUGCAACUAGGACAAACCAUGUUGAUAUAAGGAACUUCCUUCUAUUGUAUUGCAUAUCACAAAAAUAAAUGAGCUUCUCUUUCAGCCUCUAAAAUCAACAGUUAAACAAGUCUCAAAAACAGAAUAUGUACAUAUAAAGAGUAAACAAAGAGAGAAGCAGAACAAUAGUCACAACGCUCGUCUUCUGCCAGCUGAUUACUAAAUCAAAAGAUACACAUAAGAUAU